rnacentral:ncRNA from 1 species
GUUCAGGGGAGCUGAAUGGCUGAGAGGAGACAAAUGAGUCUCGACCCUUUAACCUGAUCCGGGUAAUGCCGGCGGAGGUAGAUUGC